UGGCCACUUCGAUAGCGACAUGGUGAAUCCCAGGGCAGAGCCGCGGGUGCCAUGGAUGGAGCAGGUGGGACCUGAGACCGGAACACACGUCAAGCGCAGUGCACAGCCUUUCCGAGUGAUUCUAAACAACCUGCUCGGCUAGACCAGAGCGACGCAGUGUCACGCGGGGAAAGUCCAUGGGGCCGGCCUGACAAGAGCGGCGGUGCCAGGAGCUCAUACCUACCAGACUCUCCGUGGCUGCAUCCUGGGGCCGAACCUGCGCCUCCUCCGCGGGUACUGUCAGGACGCCUACGAGGGUGGAUUACAGUGAGCUGAAAGAGGACCUGCGCUCCUGGACUGCGCGGACACAGCGGCUCAGAUUAUCCAGCGCUAAUGGGAGGCGUCCAGUGAGGAUUAUCGCUGUAGGGCCAACGUCGAGGGGGAGUGCGUGGAGUGGCUCGGCAGAUACCUGCAGUGUGGCAAGGAGAAGCUACAGCACGCAGGUGGAGAAGGAGGCAGCUACACUCAGGCUGCCUGUAAGUAUGCAGAGAAUUGAUCUCUGAGACCGUUGGGGACAGUGUAGACAGGAGCCCAUGGGGAAGAUCACCCAACCCCAUAAUUCCUCUUUUAGCCACAACUGUUAUGGGCCCUUUUUGCUCUGCCCCAGGCAGUGACAGUUCCCAGGCUUCUGAUGUAUUUCUCCUGGCUUGUAAAGGUGAGACCAUGGAGGGCUUGAAGUGGAAGAGGAGGGAGGGCAAGGAAGACUCCUAGUUUAUGGGGAUUCUUUGGAUUUGGUCAUUUUUAGUAUAUGGUGGGCUGUUCAGAGUGUCACCACUUACGGUGAAUGAUAUGAAUUUGGUUUUGAUUAUUUUUUUUUUCAGUGUGAGAUAGCUGCCUUGUAUGGGACUGAGAAAUACAAGAUUUGUUCAAGUGCCCCCAACAUUGAGAUUUCGGGAAGCUCCUAAAUUCUCUUUCUGCAACUGGCCCCUAAAAACUUACGUGUCUGUGUUCCAAGGAGUAUAAUGUGAGAAAAUGUGGACACCAGCCUAUCCCUAAGCAUCUAGUCCCUCUUGUUUGUCCUCUCAUUGUCUAAGUCAGUUUUCCAUUACUGUAAAAAAAAAUACCCAAGAAAAUCACCUUACAAGAGGAAAGGAUUUUUGGCUAAUAGUUUGAGAUUUCAGUCCAUGAUCAAUUGUCCCCAUUGCUUUUAGACCUUUGGCAAAGCAGCAUGUCAUGGUGGCAGCACCUAGCAGAGAAACAAAAGAGAGAAGAAACCAUGGCCACAUGACAUCCUUUGAGGGUACAACCCCAAUAACUGAAACCUCGUACAAGGCUCCACCUCAUAUUUUUCCCACCAUCUUCCAAUAGAACCACAUGCUGGGAACCAGGCUUUAACAUGAACUUUUGAAGGAAAUUUCAGAUCCAAACUAUAGUGUUACCCUUACAAGGUUCAGCCAGCCCUUACACACAGUAAAUUUGUGACAUCAAGAGAUGAAUUUUCAGAUUUAUACAGCUCUUGCCCUCCUUCUAGAAGUGUUCCUUGGAUUGUACUUCCCAUCCACUUCCUAACCUUCUUAAAUGAACCAGAUUUGGGGAUUAGGAGAAAAGAGGGACUUUAUAAUUUCUCAUCAUAGAUAGAUUCCUGUUAAGUUUUUGUUUUUUCUAAUCACCUGUCCCUUUUCCCUGCCCUUAGUUCUAGUAAUCCUAGUGAUUGCUCCAAUCCAAACUUGUGGAUUUAUAAAGCAGAAUCUAAUUUAGACAUUUAUUGCUUGAAAUAUAGGGCCUAUGAUCCUAGCAUCUUGUUUAGUGAAGAAACAAAUGGACUCAUGUGUUGUGGAGUGCAGGGUGUGGGAAGUAGAGUCAGGGAAGAGAGGGCAGCCCUGACAUCCAGCUGCCCGGAAAACACUGGGCUUCACACAGAUAUUAGAAUUAGCAGACAAUGACAUUAAGACAGUGUUCAUAAAUUUAUUCCAAAUGUUCAAGCAGUUACAUGAGACACAUAAAAGAUCACAAUCAAAAUUCCAAAGAUAAAAGCAUCUGAGAUGUCAAAUGUACAAAAUGUGAGGUGGGAUUCAUGGUAGACUGUACUGAAGAAUAAAAGAUCAGUGA